CCCCAGCGCUGCAGCUAGACCGCAGGGCCAGCAACUGGUUCUCUAGCAGUGCUGCUUAGGACCCACGUGCUCAGCGUGGAACUCAUGUGUCGGCGAAUGCGGAAGAAAACGGGGAAAACCGAUGUGGCAUGCUCUUCCCAGGCAACUGUGCAGGGACAGGGUCCCGCAAACGUCGCGGGAGAAAAACCGAAGACAUGAGGUGCUCCCGGUGCGGUCCAACAGGCAUAUUUUAAAUAUAUGUCCCCAGGUCCAUGACUGAAGAAAAUUCUGGAAGGACUCCCAGGAAGUUAUUUCUUUUUUCUGCUUGCUGUGAUAUUGAGGUCCAUCCACCUAGGUGCAGACUCAGGAGACAAUUGUCCAGAGGAGAAACCGGUGAUGACAUCUUUUUGGCUGGAUGGAACUGAUGGAAGAUUUAUGGAGCAGCUGAGGAGUGUCAGAGCCAGACCCAGCAGAUUUCCUAAGAGAAUGACCAUGGCUUUUUCAUCAGCGAGCACACUGCCUUCUGAAAUGGUCUAACACNNNNNNNNNNGAGAGAGAGAGAGAGAGAGAGAGAGAGAGAGAGAGAGAGAGAGAGAGAGACCUAUCUAACUAGCCAUCAGUGAGGUUAUCCCUGUACCCCACAGCUGCUGCCACCCAAUCUGAAGGUUCCCGCUUCUGCUCUUGAAGUAUUUAUUGUAUGUGACCACACAGAAGUCCUAGCUGUCACUCACCGUCAAACCCCCUGGCCCCAGUCUGGGACCCAGAGCCCUCCAGGAGUGGGAAACUUCAUCCUAUACCUUCUCAGUCACAGGGAUUUCAGAAAUUAGUCACAGGAAGCAGGGAGGCCGAGAGUGGAGGCUUCCAAGAGGAGCCAGUAACAGGAUCUGGGAUCUUUCACCCCAGGUCACAGAAGCUU
rnacentral:lncRNA from 1 species